GCCAUAGCUGAGCAGGAGCAUUUUAGACGCUGUUUUUUUUGCGGAAGUUCGCUGUUCAAAUCCCACAGGCCACUCAGUGUCAGUACUGCGGGCGUAUGGACCGUGCAUUGACGUGCUGGCUUCUUCACAGUGGACGGUCCAGUGUCAAAAGGUAAAGAUGACGGUGCAGCCCUGCAAUCGCUUGGUUACGCCAUUGCUGGCAGAUGGGCCUCCACUGGAGGGAGCUCCAGAGAUUCCCUCUGGAUACUCUCAGCGACUCAACAACGACGGCCACACCUCCGCACACGAGCUGCUGCAGACAAGGGUGACAAAAGUUGCUCAGACGAGUCGGUGCAUCUGCUGAAGCAUCUUUACACCCAG